rnacentral:rRNA from 1 species
CAGUAGCCGCGGUAAUACGAAGGGGGCUAGCGUUGUUCGAAAUUACUGGGCGUAAAGCGCACGUAGGCGGAUAUUUAAGUCAGGGGUGAAAUCCCAGAGCUCAACUCUGGAACUGCCUUUGAUACUGGGUAUCUUGAGUAUGGAAGAGGUGAGUGGAAUUCCGAGUGUAGAGGUGAAAUUCAUAGAUAUUCGGAGGAACGCCAGUGGCGAAGGCGGCUCACUGGUCCAUUACUGACGCUGAGGUGCGAAAGCGUGGGGAGCAAACAGGAUUAGAUACCCCUGUAGUCCCUGUCUCUUAUAC